GUGUUUGCUUCGGCAGCACAUAUAGUAAAAUUGGGAUGAUACAGAGAAGAUUUGCAUGGCCCUUGAGCAAGGAUGUCACGCAAAUUCGUGAAGCGUUCCAUAUUUUU
ensembl:snRNA U6 U6 spliceosomal RNA